rnacentral:lncRNA from 1 species
GGGUAGGCAGACAGCCAUAUGGGACUCAAUUUGUCAAUUAAAAGUUAUGCGGGUUAAUCAGGCACCUACUUUUUUCUCUUUGAUCGCAUUAUAAAUAGAAGCCAUAACCCCGACUGAGAAACUCACAAAGCAGUUCAUCUUACAAGCUCUUCAUCUCCCUAGCCUACUUCUUGGUUGCCCAACUAGCUGCCAUAUCCACCAAUGGCAUUAAACUUCAUACCAAAGCUACUACUAGUUCUAGCCUUUGCUGCUUUUUCAGCCGGAGCUAGAAGAAGUGAGCUCGAACUCAAAGAAACCCAUCUGUCCUUGUUCUUCCAUGACAUAGCCUCCGGUCCAAAUUUCACACUAAUUCCAGUUGCCGGUAUCGCGGGCAAGCUCUGGACCUUCGAUCAGUUUGGAACAGCUUUUGUGACGGACGAUCCUCUAACCGAGACCCCUGAUCGAAGCGCACCCAUAGUUGGGAGAGGCCAAGGCAUUUAUGUGACGUCAGGGCUGGAUGGACGUAACACCCAUGUCUUGAUAUCCAUUGUGUUCACCAACAAGAAGUACAAUGGCAGCACACUGGAGAUACAAGGAACCAGCAAGCAGUUCGAGAAAGUCAGAGAGGUUUCAGUGGUGUCCGGUACCGGACAGUUUCGGUUCGCCAGGGGAUACGCGACGUUCGAGACGUAUCUUUGGGAUCCGGCAACUUUCUACUCCGUGGAGAGGUGCAACGUUACAGUGCAACACUACUAGAAGAUUAUGUUUGUUUGUAGGUUUAGAAAAUGGGGUAAAUAAUCAACAAAUAUGGAGCUGUUCAUGUUUGUAUGGAUGCUCUGGUGGUGAUUUAUAAUUUGCAGAUUGUAGGUCUCUGACUCUUUGUUUACCUGUAAUCCCCCCACAUGAAUUUGGAUUCGAAUAAAAUUGCUUCAACUUGUGUU